rnacentral:rRNA from 1 species
CUACGGGGGGCACCAGUGGGGAAUAUUGCACAAUGGGCGCAAGCCUGAUGCAGCCAUGCCGCGUGUAUGAAGAAGGCCUUCGGGUUGUAAAGUACUUUCAGCGGGGAGGAAGGGAGUAAAGUUAAUACCUUUGCUCAUUGACGUUACCCGCAGAAGAAGCACCGGCUAAGACCGUGCCAGCAGCCGCGGUAAUACGGAGGGUGCAAGCGUUAAUCGGAAUUACUGGGCGUAAAGCGCACGCAGGCGGUUUGUUAAGUCAGAUGUGAAAUCCCCGGGCCCAACCUGGGAACUGCAUCUGAUACUGGCAAGCUUGAGUCUCGUAGAGGGGGGUAGAAUUCCAGGUGUAGCGGUGAAAUGCGUAGAGAUCUGGAGGAAUACCGGUGGCGAAGGCGGCCCCCUGGACGAAGACUGACGCUCAGGUGCGAAAGCGUGGGGAGCAAACAGGAUUAGAUACCCGCGUAGUC